rnacentral:rRNA from 1 species
GACGAACCGUGCAAGCGUUAUUCGGAAUCACUGGGCUUAAAGGGCGCGUAGGCGGGCAACCAAGUCCGAGGUGAAAUCCUCCAGCUUAACUGGAGAAGUGCCCCGGAUACUGGUGGCCUCGAGGAUGGUAGGGGCAUCUGGAACUAGCGGUGGAGCGGUGAAAUGCGUUGAUAUCGCUAGGAACUCCGGUGGCGAAGGCGAGGUGCUGGACCAUUUCUGACGCUGAGGCGCGAAAGCCAGGGGAGCGAACGGG